rnacentral:tRNA from 1 species
GGCAGUGGAUUGUCAAUCCACCAUGCAACGAAG